rnacentral:sRNA from 1 species
UGGCAUGGGCGCCGCCACACUCAUCACGGU